GACGAACGCUGGCGGCGUGCUUAACACAUGCAAGUCGAACGGAAAGGCCCUGCUUUUGUGGGGUGCUCGAGUGGCGAACGGGUGAGUAACACGUGGGUAACCUGCCCUUGACUUUGGGAUAACUUCAGGAAACUGGGGCUAAUACCGGAUAGGAGCUCCUGCUGCAUGGUGGGGGUUGGAAAGUUUCGGCGGUUGGGGAUGGACUCGCGGCUUAUCAGCUUGUUGGUGGGGUAGUGGCUUACCAAGGCUUUGACGGGUAGCCGGCCUGAGAGGGUGACCGGCCACAUUGGGACUGAGAUACGGCCCAGACUCCUACGGGAGGCAGCAGUGGGGAAUAUUGCACAAUGGGCGGAAGCCUGAUGCAGCAACGCCGCGUGCGGGAUGACGGCCUUCGGGUUGUAAACCGCUUUCGCCUGUGACGAAGCGUGAGUGACGGGAAUGGGUAAAGAAGCACCGGCUAACUACGU
rnacentral:rRNA from 1 species